GCCGAAAUAGCUCAGUUGGGAGAGCGUUAGACUGAAGAUCUAAAGUUCCUUGGUUCGACCCGGGGUUUUGGCA
rnacentral:tRNA from 1 species